rnacentral:rRNA from 1 species
CUACGGGAGGCAGCAAUCAGGAAUAUUGCGCAAUGGGGGAAACCCUGACGCAGCGACGCCGCGUGCGGGAUGAAGGCCUUCGGGUCGUAAACCGCUGUUGUGGGAGACGAGGAGGGGGUGACGAGCCCCCUGGGACGGUAUCCCACGAGGAAGCCCCGGCUAACUACGUGCCAGCAGCCGCGGUAAUACGUAGGGGGCGAGCGUUGUCCGAAGUUACUGGGCGUAAAGCGCGCGUAGGCGGCUCUUUAAGUGACUGGUGAAAUCCCCGGGCUCAACUCGGGUAGGUCUGGUCAUACUGGGGAGCUGGAGUGUGGGAGAGGUGAGUGGAACUCCUGGUGUAGCGGUGAUAUGCGUAGAGAUCAGGAAGAACACCCGUGGCGAAGGCGGCUCACUGGACCACAACUGACGCUGAGGCGCGAAAGCCAGGGGAGCGAACGGGAUUAGAUACCCUGGUAGA